rnacentral:rRNA from 1 species
UACGUAGGGUGCAAGCGUUAAUCGGAAUUACUGGGCGUAAAGCGUGCGUAGGUGGUUCGUUAAGUCUGUCGUGAAAGCCCCGGGCUCAACCUGGGAAUGGCGAUGGAUACUGGCGGGCUAGAGUGCGGUAGAGGAAGGUGGAAUUCCCGGUGUAGCAGUGAAAUGCGUAGAUAUCGGGAGGAACACCAGUGGCGAAGGCGGCCUUCUGGACCAGUACUGACGCUCAUGCACGAAAGCGUGGGGAGCAAACAGG